UAUUUGCUGUUUGCUGUGAGCCCCUUGGCUGGCUUAGUUUUUUCAUCAUUAAAAAGUAAAGCAGCAUUGUGUGACCUCAUCUGGAAAGACACAGACUCUCAAGGCAGAAAGGAACCUCAGACAUGACAGCAAUGAAGACCAUGUUACUGCAGCUCCUGGAUGGAAGAGAAAGGCAAUUCGAAAAUAGCUCUGCUGGGAGAAGUGCAAUACAAGUUACCCAACACAUAGAGGGAAAUGAGGCAUCUUGAAGAAAAAGAACAGACAAAUAGCCUAUCUCCAUGCAUAUCUCCUCUCAGUCCCUGAAGAAUGACUUUUCCUCUUUACUGGGACCUGGAAACACCAAGGAACACCAAGAGCCUGUGUUUUGUGAUCUGCAGCAGCCAUUCCCAGUGCCCAGAGCAAUCCCCAGCGUCCAGACCCGGGCGACCACUCCCAGGAAAGGCUUUCUGGAUUUGUUCAUCUCUUCAGAGUGGUGAAAGAGUUUUGUUGUCAUCUGGUGUUGUUA